rnacentral:SRP_RNA from 1 species
GGAGCGGCCCUUCGCAGCAGGUGGAUGUGAAACCCGUCAGGUUCGGAAGGAAGCAGCGGUAAACAUUUUUCCUGGGUGCCGCAGGUAGUCGCUCCCGG